rnacentral:tRNA from 1 species
GGAGAGGGAGCGAAGUGGCCGUCACGGCGGCGCCUCGAAAGCGCUUUGUCCGGUGAAGAGCCGGGCGCGUGGGUUCGAAUCCCUCCCUCUCCA